CCACGCACAGGGCAAACCAUUCGAAAGGAUGGGACGCAAAGCUUCCGGCCUUACCCAUAAGUGACAGUUAUGAAAGGUAGCGGGGUUGCCGAU
rnacentral:ncRNA from 1 species